AAAAAGUGUAUACCGUAACUUUAAUAGCUGAACAUUGGCACACAUUUCAGCAAAUAAAUGCCUGUUUCAAAUAAAAACGCUGUGUCUAAAUGAAUUGUUUGAUAUUCCCACAGUCAUAUGCAUUAAAAACGUUAUUUUAUUCUGUCAUCAUUGCAUAGUAUAACUGACAUGUAACGUUAGCUAGUGUUUCAUCCCCUCGACUGAAGUUCUGUCUGAAGUGAAUGAGCCAACUAGCUAGCUAGUAGCUACCACAGCCAGUUCAGCUCUAGCUAGCCUCUAGAUAUCCGUCAGGUAGCAGUGCCUAACAGCUGUUGUGUAGCCUUUGUUUUGUCCCGUUUUAAACAGAAGUAAAUUAACUUGGCUCGUUUCUGCCAGUUGAUGUACCAUUAGAGCUAGCCAAAAGUUGGUAUAGCAAUGUAACGUUAUUGAUUUGUCAGUUUCCCUAGCUAUUUCUCUACUUUUCACACUGACACGGUAUAAAACAGCUCCACAGGCUUCAUUGUCAUGGUGCAGUCAGUACAAAACACUACAGUAUGUUCAUCAUGUCUUAGCAGGAUCAGGUGGUGACAGGUGUCCCAGCAGGGUCAGACAGCCAGGGAAGACCAGUCUAUGGAGCCCAGGAUCAAAUGGUGACUGGGGUCUCAGCAGGUCAGGCAACCAGGGAAAACCAGUCUGACGGCAUUGAGGAGAGUUGCAGCGAUGGGACUCGGGAAAGGCAAAGGUUGAGAGCAAUGCUUCAGAUUUGAUCAGGCUGUUGAUUGUGGCCUGUGGAAUGUUGUCCCAUCACUCUUCAAUGGAUGUGCGAAGUUGCUGGUUAUUGGCUGGG